AUUGGGCCUUUGGUUCACCUGUUGCAUCUAUGUUCUUUGCUUUGCCAGAGAAUCUUAGAACCCAGGUUAGGCUGGUAACAGUUCCUCUAAAGAUGAAUCAAUAUAAUAAUGUGAGGGAGGGGGAAAGCACCCCAGUGCAGGGAUGAUACUCUGGACUACAAAAUACUCAAGACACCAAGAAUCCAAACGUAAUUUUCCAAUCUCUGCUUCAGUAAAACUUAUUCACAGCACACACCGACUGAUAACUUCUGCCAGGGCUGGUGAGUAUUUCUAGCCAGAAACCCCAAAUAUAAAGCACGUU
ensembl:lncRNA